rnacentral:rRNA from 1 species
GACGAACGCUGACGGCGUGCUUUAGACAUGCAAGUCGAACGCGAAAGCCCUUCGGGGUGAGUAGAGUGGCGAACGGGUGAGUAACACGUGGGCAACCUGCCCCUCGCAGGGGGAUAACCGGGGGAAACCCCGGCUAAUACCCCGUACGCUCGUCGGGUCGCAUGGCCCUUCGAGGAAACGGUAGCUUCGGCCAUCCGGCGAGGGAUGGGCCCGCGGUGCAUUAGCUAGUUGGUGGGGUAACGGCCCACCAAGGCGACGAUGCAUAGCUGGUCUGAGA